UUUUCCUUUUUAAGAGUGGUGAAGGUCACUCAGGUAAACAGAAGCCCUUCCCAGCUCGCAAGAGUGAGAGGGUGCCUGGAUCACUCUGUGAGGGCUGUGAUGUCUCUGUGGGCGUCUUAGUGCCGUACUUAGACCCCUCAGUGCCAGCGGUACCCGGUGCCAGUGGUUCUACAAGCAGGUGUGAUACGUCCCACCCAUCCCUACUCUUUUUUUUUCCUCCUGUGCCUCCCAUUGUGCUCACUGAGAUCUAGCAUGGCAUCGCGUUCCAGGUGUGUUUACAUUCUGCCCACGGUCUCCUCAGUUACCGCCAAGUGCGUGAGCCCUCGGUAUGGAAGCAAGAGUGAAAAACAACCUCAGCGCAAGGCAGUGACAAAAGACUCACUCUGGGAAGGCAGUGGUACAGAGGUUAAAAGUUCUGUGUUUACGAAGCUGAGGACACUUUGUUUGGAGGCUUUUGAUGCACUGAUAAACUGACCUCCAGAAGGUAACAGCUCCGGGAUGCGUGGGCACGCCCACUUCACCAUCACACAGAAUUGCCCGAAAAGACAGACAAGGACGCAGUACCCUCUCUACAUCCGUAAUAGCAGCAGCUCUAUUCUACAUUCAAGACAGAAUGCUAGCAUCUCUGGUUUUCCACACAUCUGCCUUAACCCUGUUUGAAAUGCUGCUGACUAACAAAAUUCCUAUCUAACCAGAUGGUCAGAGAGGCAUAGCAACCCGUUUCUAUUUCCACGAAAUUUCAGCAGAUUCCAGUCUUAACCAAUCCCCUUGUGUUCACAGCACAUAAGCAACCACUUUCCCCAGACAAUUUGGGAGCCUGGUGGGAUCCUGCUGUCCUCUGUACCAACUGAGAAGGACUCAACUUUCAUACAGUUUUAAUCAAAGCAUUUCAUUGCGAUUUUUUAAAAAACGGCAAUCCCCAAGUCUACCAAGCAACACUCUGUUAAAUAAAACAUCUGGGGUCCAUGAGCUCCUGAGCCAUGGUGGCUGUGAGAGGUUUACAAUGGAGUGUUUGGCUUUGUUUCUUGACAACCGAUUUUGCUCAUCUCUCCUCACAAGCACCUGGAGACUUGAUGGGCCUUUGAGUGAAAGGUCAGUGUUGCUAAGAGCAAAAUGACUCAGCAGAUGUUCGGGACAAAGAGAGGGAAUCUGUCACGUACUCACAUGUAAUACUUACAAACGAGUGCAAACAAUCCCCUAAGUUCCUAAUGAUUACAUGCUAUCUGACAUGUGUGUCCAUAGCAUGAAAAAGGGAAGGGCUGGUGUGUCUUCCACUCUCAGAACCAUCGCUUAAAGGCCCUGCUGUCACUUGAUAAGAAAACUCAGAUCUACACGCCAGGAAAACUCUUUCAUAACGCCUGGCUGUUCCAACAACUUUAAGUCUCUAACGCCAGAACUCCACUGCCUCCGAAUAUGACCUUGUUAAAUUCUGGGCCUUUCAGAUGGAAAAGUUCAAACGAAUAAAAUCCUUGCAAACAUGAUGAACAGAGAAACCACUGUGGAUUCAGUUUCUUUGCUUCAGUCUGUCAAGAGCUAAGUCUGCACCAGAGGAGAGAAAGACAUAUUCUCUGUCGCCUUGCUUCUGUGUUCCCCUCCUUCCACGGUCACCAUUUAAUUUCUCAUGACUUACACAACAUGGAGGAAAUUUUUAUCACAGUAUCUACAGGAUAGUCUGGAUAUAGUGGUAUACAUUGCACUCCCAGGUACUUGGGAGGCUGAAGUAGGAUUAGUCUGUCAAGGCCAGCAAGGGCAACUACUUCAGAUAUGGUCUCAACAUGAAAAUUGAAGAAAAAUGGUUAGGGAUAGAGCUCAGUGGUAGAGUGCUUAACCUAGCAUAUGCAAGGCUGUAGGUUUAACUCCCAGUACAUCAACACCACUACCACCACCAGGACCACCAUCAGCAUCAGCACCAGCACUACCAACACCAUCACCAUCGCCAGCAUCACCACCACCAAGGAAACAAAGGAAGGGAGGGAGGAAGGAAGGGAAAGGAGGAAGAAAAUACAUCUGUAGUAUGUUUUUUUAUGCACCUUAACCCUUUGAUUUUUAGAAUGUUACCCUCACUUCCCUUUGGUUUUUUUCCGUUCUGCUAGUUUUCUAAUUUGAAACUACAGGACAGUAUCAUUAAAGUUCCAAUGAAAUGUUGUCAAUAAAUAGCAUUUUAUCAUAAAAAAAUCCUAAUCUGUUAGCAGGAAAAUAUAACUAAAAUUUCUCCUGGAGACUACACAGGUUCAAAACAGACAAGAUCUCAGCACUGGGAAGGGAAAAUAGACACCACCUUCACCCCUAACCAAGAAGCUAUUUGUAAUGAACACCCACUGGAAAAGGGGAAAUCAGUUUUCUUCAUGGAAUGUCACUGGGUACAUCAACCACACUCCAGGGCACGUCCCAUGCUCAGGAGUAAUUGAUCCAAAUAAAAUGAGCUCUAAGCUUUUUUGUGCA